AAAUAUACGUGUCAUAGAUCAUAAUAUGGAACACAACAAGAAUUGUGGAUAUUUAUUUUGUCAAUUUUGAGAACAUUAGUUUCUACAAACACAAAUAAUGGAGUUGUUUACCAUGUGAGUAAAAGUGUGGCAUGGAUUAGUACUCAUGAACCAAAACGUCGUGUUAGCUUAAAGGAAGAUAGGAACCUUCUGGUUGUUAUUGUUCUUUCUUAGAACCUUGGAAUAUAAAUGACAAUAGAGUUUUUACCAUCCUCUGUCAGUACAUAAAUGAUAUAAAAUGGCUGCAUAAUCUUAUUCUCUUGUUUCAAAUGAACAGAAAAACAACUCCAUGUGCUUUUCCACAAUAAGUGUUUCAAAUGGAAGAUAGGAACCUUCUCAAAAAUUGGUGUCUUACGAUGAAAAGCUAUUAAUUAGUGAAAAUGAUGUUCUAUAUUUUCUACUAUUGUUUUCAGGGGAAGGUAUUUUCAGAUUCCUAGUCCCUAUAAACAAGCGUUGAGGCUGUGAUGCUUCUUAAUCAGUUAAAUUUUUCGAUUUGUAUUUCACAUGCUUUUAUUUUCUGAUGAUCUAUAAAUAGAUGCAAAUAUGCAUCUAGUCAAGGAUGAUUACACCUUGCAGGUGUGGAGAGUUAGUGGUAAUCCCAGGGGGAUCCCUAAAUUUUGUUUGUCAAAGUCAGUCAUUCACAGUCGUGGAAAACAAUUUUUUAUUCUCUAUUGUUUGUUUUCCUAUAUUAUUGUUCACUUUUUGAUAGUUUUCCCUUCUCUGACAGAUUGAGACUCUGAAGCUUAAAUUGUUUGAGAAGUUGGGAUAGUUCCUUUUGGAUUUGCAUUUUGAAUCUAAGGACCUAAAAGUUGCUUUAGCAGAUGAUGAACUUUUCUAACCAAGGAAAAGUCAAUAUUUCGGCUUUUGCUGCUGUUCAUGAAGGAAUUUGAACCCACUCGUAAACAUAUUUAGAAGCAGCUCCACUCUGCGGAUAUUUUGGCAAUCCUUUGCUGCUCUUAUUGCUGUCAAAGAUUAUAUAACCAGUGCAAUAAGUCAUCUUCUACUUGAUAUUUCAGACGCUUUCUCAAAAAUCCAAGUUAUGCAAAAUGAGGGAACAAAGAAAGCAUACCCUUUGAAGGCAGCCUUCGAGGCCAGCAAAAAGGCAUUUA